rnacentral:rRNA from 1 species
GUAAAGCACUUUAAGCGAGGAGGAGGCUACUUAGAUUAAUACUCUAGGAUAGUGGACGUUACUCGCAGAAUAAGCACCGGCUAACUCUGUGCCAGCAGCCGCGGUAAUACAGAGGGUGCGAGCGUUAAUCGGAUUUACUGGGCGUAAAGCGUGCGUAGGCGGCUUUUUAAGUCGGAUGUGAAAUCCCUGAGCUUAACUUAGGAAUUGCAUUCGAUACUGGGAAGCUAGAGUAUGGGAGAGGAUGGUAGAAUUCCAGGUGUAGCGGUGAAAUGCGUAGAGAUCUGGAGGAAUACCGAUGGCGAAGGCAGCCAUCUGGCCUAAUACUGACGCUGAGGUACGAAAGCAUGGGGAGCAAACAGGAUUAGAUACCCUGGUAGUCCAUGCCGUAAACGAUGUCUACUAGCCGUUGGGGCCUUUGAGGCUUUAGUGGCGCAGCUAACGCGAUAAGUAGACCGCCUGGGGAGUACGGUCGCAAGACUAAAACUCAAAUGAAUUGACGGGGGCCCGCACAAGCGGUGGAGCAUGUGGUUUAAUUCGAUGCAACGCGAAGAACCUUACCUGGUCUUGACAUACAGAGAACUUUCCAGAGAUGGAUUGGUGCCUUCGGGAACUCUGAUACAGGUGCUGCAUGGCUGUCGUCAGCUCGUGUCGUGAGAUGUUGGGUUAAGUCCCGCAACGAGCGCAACCCUUUUCCUUAUUUGCCAGCGGGUUAAGCCGGGAACUUUAAGGAUACUGCCAGUGACAAACUGGAGGAAGGCGGGGACGACGUCAAGUCAUCAUGGCCCUUACGACCAGGGCUACACACGUGCUACAAUGGUCGGUACAAAGGGUUGCUACCUAGCGAUAGGAUGCUAAUCUCAAAAAGCCGAUCGUAGUCCGGAUUGGAGUCUGCAACUCGACUCCAUGAAGUCGGAAUCGCUAGUAAUCGCGGAUCAGAAUGCCGCGGUGAAUACGUUCCCGGGCCUUGUACACACCGCCCGUCACACCAUGGGAGUUUGUUGCACCAGAAGUAGGUAGUCUAACCGCAAGGAGGACGCUAC